GGCAAUCUACGAAAGGGGGGUAAGUUCCACUAAGUGAUUUAAACGUGAUUCGAUUCCCUCUGUCCAGGUGCUCUUUGGCUUCAAUGGGACGUGGAUCAGGAAAUUAUUUCUAGGUGUUUAUAUGAGGGAAAAGGAAAAGCUGCUGAGAGUUCAACUUUUGGACACUCCAACAACGUCUGAAAUAUCAAAAACUAUCCUUCCAAAAGAAAACUAUCAACUCUUUUGACUGUGUUUGGAAUCUUUGAAGCUUUAGCCAAAGAUGAGAUAAAUGUGAAAGAAUGGAUUGGACUUGGGGGAGGAGGAGGAAUGAAGCAGGGAAGAGAGCUCUUUUCAGUUUAUCUAAAAUUCACUGCGGAGCAGAGGGGAGAGUUUUUCACACUGCUGGCGUUUUGUUGGAGCACGACGAUAUGAAUCACAGAUGGCUUCCUCGGCAGAUGUGGCCCUGUAGAACUGCAGUGCUGGUUUAUAAGGGGUUUAAUGAAAACCUGGCACCCUUCCAGACUUGAAUCAAUCCUCUGGGGUUCUCGGCUUAUGCACACACAGACCAAUCUGCAAAUGUGCACCCUGUCGAUGGUGUGGGGAAUGCUGGGGUGAAAAGUUUUUACCUGAGAAACAAAGCCAAACCGAUCUGGCCAAGUUCACAGGCGUGGGGCCUGGGAGAUGGAACAGUGGUGUGGAAGGGAAGUUCGUAGGAGGAGAGUGGCUAUAUCUGGAGGAUGUCCAGAUGGCCACUGCCCAGCUGGGGGUGAUCUGGGCUCAGGUAGAAGGAUGGCUUUCCCAGCUGCUUGGAGCUCACAGUAUUUUCUUCCUUGCCACAGGUUAGGAGUAAGCAGGAGCCACAAGUGGGAGAUAAGGAAUAACAAAAUAGUUUCAUUAGUUCAUAGUGUAGAUUGGAACUGGACUUGCCUAUUGUUGCCUCCGCUUGAAAUGGGCCGCUGUUAUUUCUCAUCUAUUUCAUUUUGCCAUCAAUUGUCAUUCCUUGGCGAAGACUUCCUUGAUCACUUUCCUAAAAGAGAGCCUCCAAGCUCUUUGCUAUGUUCUAUCUUAGCUGUGCAUUUAUUUCAUGACAUAUCACAAUUUAUUUGCCUAUUUGCUUGCUGCUUUGGCCCU